CUUUGACAUCCCCUUUUUCUCUUCCAAGCCUUUCCUUUCAUAUUCUGGAUCUGAGCCAUAUCUGAUACUCUGUAAAACAUAAUGUUUAUUUAAAACUUUCAACACAAAAGGUUAUCCUCAUACUAGUUACCAUGAUGGAGUGCAGAGCUUUCAAAUUUCUACAGUUUACUACUUUAAGUAGGAUUAAGAAAGCUUUAAAACAAUCUACAGGGACUAAGGAAAACCUAUUCUGUAGGACCAAUACAUGGCAUUUUUUAUACUACCUGGGGAAGGCUACCUCUAUGAGCCAAGUUCAUUUAAGAUAUAAUUCAUAAGUUCUGCUCCUGAUGAGAUUUGUACUUUAAGAGAAUCUGAUUGGAGAAAACAGC